AGAGUUUGAUCCUGGCUCAGAACGAACGCUUGCGGCGUGCCUAACACAUGCAAGUCGAACGAGAAAGUCUUGCUUGCAAGACAAGUAAAGUGGCGCACGGGUGAGUAACGCGUGGGUAAUCUACCUUUGGGACAGGGAUAACACUUCGAAAGGGGUGCUAAUACCUGAUACGAUGCAGAUUUCACAAGGAGUUUGCAUGAAAGGUGACCUCUUCCUUGAAAGUUGCCGCUCGAAGAUGAGCCCGCGUCCCAUUAGCUUGUUGGUGGGGUAAUGGCCUACCAAGGCUCAGAUGGGUAGCUGGUCUGAGAGGAUGAUCAGCCACACUGGAACUGAGACACGGUCCAGACUCCUACGGGAGGCAGCAGUGGGGAAUAUUGCGCAAUGGGGGAAACCCUGACGCAGCAACGCCGCGUGAGUGAUGAAGGCCCUCGGGUCGUAAAGCUCUGUCAGGUGGGAAGAACAGGAGGAUCUCCAAUAAAGUUUCUCCUUGACGGUACCACCAGAGGAAGCACCGGCUAACUCCGUGCCAGCAGCCGCGGUAAUACGGAGGGUGCAAGCGUUGUUCGGAAUCACUGGGCGUAAAGCGCGUGCAGGCGGCCCAUUAAGUCAGAUGUGAAAGCCCUUGGCUCAACCAAGGAACUGCAUCUGAAACUAGUGGGCUUGAGUACGGGAGAGGAGAGUGGAAUUCCCGGUGUAGAGGUGAAAUUCGUAGAUAUCGGGAAGAACACCGGUGGCGAAAGCGGCUCUCUGGACCGAUACUGACGCUGAGACGCGAAAGCGUGGGGAGCAAACAGGAUUAGAUACCCUGGUAGUCCACGCUGUAAACGAUGGGCACUAGGUGUGGAGGGUAUUGACCCCUUCUGUGCCGGAGCUAACGCAUUAAGUGCCCCGCCUGGGAAGUACGGCCGCAGGCUAAACUCAAGGAUUGACGGGGCCCGCACAGCGUGGAGCAUGUGGUUCAUUCGACGCACGCGCAGACCUACCUGAUUUGACAUCCCUGACCGCCAUGAACAUGAUUUUCUCUUCGAACGCUGACAGUGACUGCAUGGCUGGCGUCAGCUCGUUCUGGAAAUGUAGUUAGUACCGUACCGAGCCCACCCCUUUCCCUCUGGUUG
rnacentral:rRNA from 1 species